rnacentral:lncRNA from 7 species
AUGGGCCGAGCGGAUCCCGAAAUACAUUCGUUACAUCCGGCGGGGUUUGGAGGCAGAAAGUGUGGUGUGGGGGGGUGGGGGGCUGGGGGGCUCUGCCCGAGCGUGUGCCCGUGGGGCUGUGGGGGGGCUGUGGGGGGCUGUGGGGGGAGGUGCUGCCCGGCCCUGCCGGCCCCAUCGAGAGCUGCCCUGCCCUGCUGGCACUGCGUGCACUGCAGUGCUGUGCUGUGCUGCAUCGCCCCAUUGCAUCGCCCCACCGCCCUGCAGCAUCGCCCCAUUGCUCUGCUGCAUCGCCCCAUUGCAUCGCCCCACUGCCCUGCAGCAUCGCCCCAUUGCAUCGCCCCUUUGCUCUGCUGCAACCCCCCAUUGCAUCGCCCCACUGCCCUGCAGCAUCGCCCCAUUGCAUCGCCCCAUUGCUCUGCUGCAGUCCCCCAUUGCAUCACCCCUUUGCCCUACAGCGUCGCCCCAUUGCUCUGCUGCAACCCCCCAUUGCAUCGCCCCACUGCCCUACAGCAUCACCCUAUUGCUCUGCUGCAAUCCCCCAUUGCAUUGCCCCACUGCCCUGCAGCAUCGCCCCAUUGCAUCGCCUCUUUGCUCUACUGCAGUCCCCCAUUGCAUCGCCCCACUGCCCUGCAGCAUCACUCCACCGCAUCACCCCACUGCAUUGCCCCUUUGCCCUGCAGCAUCACCCCAUUGCCCUGCUGCAAUCCCCCACUGCGUUAUCCCACUGCCCUGCAGCAUCUCCCCAUUGCAUCGCCCCAUUGCCCUGCAACAUCACCACACUGCAUUGCCCCAUCGCCCCACUGCAUCGCCCCACUGUCCUGCAGCACCGUCCCAUUGCAUCGCCCCACUGCCCUGCAGCAUCACCCCAUCACCCUGCUGCAGCCCCCACUGCAUCGCCCCACUGCCCUGCAGCAUCACCCCAUUGUCUUGCAGCUCUGCCCCAUUGCCCUGCAGCAUCACCCCACUGCCCCGCUGCAACCCCCCAUUGCACGGCCCCACUGCCCUGCUGCAGCCCCCUUUGCAUCGCCCCAUUGCAGCGCCUCAUCGCCCUGCAGCGACCCUCCUUUGCAUCACCCCACAGCCCUGCAGCACUGCUCUGUUGCGCUGCACCCCCCCCCCAUUGCAACACCCCAUUGCCCCACUGCAUGGCCCCACUGCAUGGGUGAAGACCUUUGGGGUACGGAGCACCCCUGGGUGCUGACUCUGGGGGGGGGCACAGAGCACAGAGCCCCCCCCAGGAGGAACUGUGUGUGCCCCCCAUCCAUCACCCCAUGGGGCUGUGGGGGGGGGGGGGCGGCGGAGCCCUUUUUUCCUGCAGGAGGGGAGCGGGGAUGGGGGCACCGCGAGGGCGGGGGGGCGAUGGGGGUGUGUGUGUGUGGGGGGGGGGGGGGGGGGGGGGGGAUGGGGGGUGUCAGAAGAGGAAGGCUUUCUUCUUCAGCUCAUUGCGCUUCCACAGCGCCAGCUUGCCGAACUCCUCGGGGGCAUUUCGAACACCCGCAGGAAAUCCUCCCUGGAGAGGUGCCGCUGGGGGGGGGGGGCCACAACAAUCAGAGGGUGCUGCGACCCCCCCACGUCCCACUGACCCCAAACCCCCCCACGUCCCACUGACCCCAAACCCCCCCCACAUCCCACUGACCCAACCCCCCCCCCCCAUCCCACUGACCCCCCCCACAUCCCACUGACCCCAAACCCCCCCCCAUCCCACUGACCCCAACCCCCCCCCACUGACCCCAAAUCUCCCCCCCCACGUCCCACUGACCCCAAAC